rnacentral:rRNA from 1 species
UACAGAGGUCCCAAGCGUUGUUCGGAUUCACUGGGCGUAAAGGGUGCGUAGGUGGUUGGGUAAGUCUGAUGUGAAAUCUCCGAGCCUAACUCGGAAAUGGCAUUGGAUACUAUUCGGCUAGAGGGUUUGAGGGGGGACUGGAAUACUUGGUGUAGCAGUGAAAUGCGUAGAUAUCAAGUGGAACACCAGUGGCGAAGGCGAGUCCCUGGAAAACUCCUGACACUGAGGCACGAAAGCUAGGGGAGCAAACAGG